rnacentral:rRNA from 1 species
UACAGAGGGUGCGAGCGUUAAUCGGAAUUACUGGGCGUAAAGCGUGCGUAGACGGUAGCGUAAGUCAGAUGUGAAAGCCCCGGGCUCAACCUGGGAAUUGCAUUUGAGACUGCUCUGCUCGGGUGCGGAAGAGGGAAGCGGAAUUUCCGGUGUAGCGGUGAAAUGCGUAGAUAUCGGAAGGAACACCAACGGCGAAAGCACUCUGCUGGGCCGACACUGACACUGAGAGACGAAAGCUAGGGGAGCGAAUGGG